UCGGCCAGGGAUGUGCUCGCGGCCUAUCAGCUUGUUGGUGGGGUAAUGGCCUACCAAGGCUUCGACGGGUAGCCGGCCUGAGAGGGUGACCGGCCACACUGGGACUGAGACACGGCCCAGACUCCUACGGGAGGCAGCAGUGGGGAAUAUUGGACAAUGGGCGGAAGCCUGAUCCAGCAACGCCGCGUGAGGGAUGACGGCCUUCGGGUUGUAAACCUCUUUCAGCACAGACGAAGCGCAAGUGACGGUAUGUGCAGAAGAAGGACCGGCCAACUACGUGCCAGCAGCCGCGGUAAUACGUAGGGUCCGAGCGUUGUCCGGAAUUAUUGGGCGUAAAGGGCUCGUAGGCGGUUUGUCGCGUCGGGAGUGAAAACCAGGUGCUUAACACCUGGCCUGCUUUCGAUACGGGCAGACUAGAGGCAUUCAGGGGAGAACGGAAUUCCUGGUGUAGCGGUGAAAUGCGCAGAUAUCAGGAGGAACACCGGUGGCGAAGGCGG
rnacentral:rRNA from 1 species